rnacentral:lncRNA from 1 species
UAAAAUAUAAUAUGUGGAAAAUAACAAGGGCCAAAUAGGUAAUUAUUCCAAGCACUUGGGACACGUGUCUUUCCCCAUAGGGUCAACAAACUGGGGAUUAAAUUGAAAACGAACAAAAAUUAAAUGGUAUAAUCUGAAAGGAAAAAAAAUGAAAUUAGGACCGGAUUAAAAUAACUCAAAAGGUGGAAGGACUAAAGCUAAAAAUAUCCCCCUCCUAAAAAACAUGCAGAUCCUGGGGGUGAUUCGGGUUGGGCAAUCGGUUUCUGCUGAAACAACACCGUUUCAGGUACCCAUUUCCUAAAAUGGCCCCUGCACCAAAAUGAAAAUAAAAUAAAAUAAAAUAAAAUGGUAAAAUAGAAAAAGUAAAAAGGACUAUAUCAAGAUGCGCUCAAAAGCGGGAGGACUAGGACCGCAAAUAAACCAUUUUGUAAAAACACGCGGACCUUGCUAAGCAAUCGGGUCGGGUUGGCGGAUCAUAACUAAAACGACUCCAUUUUGGGGUUUAUAGAAUCAGGCCAAAACAAUGUUGUUCCCCUAUCCUAUUUAAGUUAAAAAUUUCCCCCAAAAAUCAUUUUCCCCCUUUUUUUUUUAAAAAAAAAUCUCCCUUCUCUCUUUUUUUUUCUUUGAAAUGUUCUUCAGGUCGGUCACGGAAGCCACCAUUGCUCCGCCGCAACCACCGAUUGACGGCGACAGCAACCGCCGUCCAUGAUGGGCGGACUUCAUGAAAAAGGCCUAUUUUGGCCGUUUUGUUUCCCUCAGCCUAGAUCUGAGGCCAAAACCUCCGAAAACCAAAAAAAGACCAAAAACCUCUUGGUUUUUCUGCGUUUCGAAAGGUGCCCAACACCUUCUUCCCCUACGAGGCCUUUGACGAAUCAAAAGGUGAUUCGGAGGUCUCACGCCAGAAGAACCGUCCUUCAUCGGAGACGACGUCCUCGUCCACUCGCUAUGGAGGAAUAUGAAACAAUCUGGUAAGUUUUUUUUUACCCUUUUUUAUUUUAUGUUUUAAAAAUAAUAAUAACAGAUUAAAAAUAAGGAAAUCACCUUUGAAAUUUUCUUUGUAUUCUAUUUUUUUGAUUGCGCUGACGUGAGAGGAGGAGUGGCGGUUUCUGGCUUUCUGAAAAGUUUAGGUUUUUGGGCCAUUGGGCCUUUAGUUUUUUUUCAUUCGGGUCAUUUGGGCUUGUAUUAGGUAAUGUAUUGGGUCUUUUUUUUGUAUUUGGG